AAAUGACGGUACCUCCACAAGAAGCCCCGGCCAACUACGUGCCAGCAGCCGCGGUAAUACGUAGGGGGCGAGCGUUGUCCGGAUUUAUUGGGCGUAAAGAGCUCGUAGGCGGUUCAACAAGUCGGUCGUGAAAGUUCAGGGCUCAACCCUGAAAUGUCGAUCGAUACUGUUGUGACUAGGAUACGGCAGAGGUGAGUGGAAUUCCGAGUGUAGCGGUGAAAUGCGUAGAUAUUCGGAGGAACACCAACUGCGAAGGCAGCUCACUGGACCGCUAUCGACGCUGAGGAGCGAAAGCUAGGGGAGCAAACAGGAUUAGAUACCCUGGUAGUCCUAGCUGUAAACGAUGGAUACUAGACGUAGGAACUGGAUUGACGGUUUCUGUGUCGUAGCUAACGCGUUAAGUAUCCCGCCUGGGGAGUACGGUCGCAAGACUAAAACUCAAAGGAAUUGACGGG
rnacentral:rRNA from 1 species